rnacentral:rRNA from 1 species
UACGGGGGGAGCAAGCGUUGUUCGGAUUUACUGGGCGUAAAGGGCGCGUAGGCGGCCACCGCAAGUCGACUGUGAAAUCUCCGGGCUUAACCCGGAAAGGUCAGCCGAUACUGCGGGGCUAGAGUGCAGAAGGGGCAACUGGAAUUCUCGGUGUAGCGGUGAAAUGCGUAGAUAUCGGGAAGAACACCCGUGGCUAAGGCGGCUCUCUAGUACGGUACUGACGCUGAGACGCGAAAGCGUGGGGAGCGAACAGG